UACGAAGGGGGCUAGCGUUGUUCGGAAUUACUGGGCGUAAAGCGCACGUAGGCGGAUAUUUAAGUCAGGGGUGAAAUCCCAGAGCUCAACUCUGGAACUGCCUUUGAUACUGGGUAUCUUGAGUAUGGAAGAGGUGAGUGGAAUUCCGAGUGUAGAGGUGAAAUUCGUAGAUAUUCGGAGGAACACCGGUGGCGAAGGCGGCUUCUUGGGCCCUACCUGACGCUGAGGCGCGAAAGCCAGGGGAGCGAACGGG
rnacentral:rRNA from 1 species